rnacentral:tRNA from 1 species
UCCCUCAUAGCUCAGUUGGUAAAGAGUCUGCCUGCAAUGCAGGAGACCCAGGUUCGAUUCCUGGGUCGGGAA